rnacentral:rRNA from 1 species
CAAGUGAGAUUAGCUAGUUGGUAAGGUAAAGGCUUCCCAAGGCGACGAUUUCUAGCUGUUCUGAGAGGAAGAUCAGCCACACUGGGACUGAGACACGGCCCAGAUUCCUACGGGAGGCAGCAGUGGGGAAUAUUGCACAAUGGGGGAAACCCUGAUGCAGCCAUGCCGCGUGUGUGAAGAAGGCCUUCGGGUUGUAAAGCACUUUCAGUUGUGAGGAAAAGUUAGUAGUUAAUACCUGCUAGCCGUGACGUUAACAACAGAAGAAGCACCGGCUAACUCCGUGCCAGCAGCCGCGGUAAUACGGAGGGUGCGAGCGUUAAUCGGAAUUACUGGGCGUAAAGCGCACGCAGGCGGUUUGUUAAGCUAGAUGUGAAAGCCCCGGGCUCAACCUGGGAUGGUCAUUUAGAACUGGCAGACUAGAGUCUUGGAGAGGGGAGUGGAAUUCCAGGUGUAGCGGUGAAAUGCGUAGAUAUCUGGAGGAACAUCAGUGGCGAAGGCGACUCCCUGGCCAAAGACUGACGCUCAUGUGCGAAAGUGUGGGUAGCGAACAGGAUUAGAUACCCUGGUAGUCCACACCGUAAACGCUGUCUACUAGCUGUGUGUGCCUUUAAGGCGUGCGUAGCGAAGCUAACGCGCUAAGUAGACCGCCUGGGGAGUACGGCCGCAAGGUUAAAACUCAAAUGAAUUGACGGGGGCCCGCACAAGCGGUGGAGCAUGUGGUUUAAUUCGAUGCAACGCGAAGAACCUUACCUACACUUGACAUGCUGAGAAGUUACUAGAGAUAGUUUCGUGCCUUCGGGAACUCAGACACAGGUGCUGCAUGGCUGUCGUCAGCUCGUGUCGUGAGAUGUUGGGUUAAGUCCCGCAACGAGCGCAACCCUUGUCCUUAGUUGCCAGCCUUAAGUUGGGCACUCUAAGGAGACUGCCGGUGACAAACCGGAGGAAGGUGGGGACGACGUCAAGUCAUCAUGGCCCUUACGUGUAGGGCUACACACGUGCUACAAUGGCAUUUACAGAGGGAAGCGAGACAGUGAUGUGGAGCGGACCCCUUAAAGAAUGUCGUAGUCCGGAUUGGAGUCUGCAACUCGACUCCAUGAAGUCGGAAUCGCU